rnacentral:rRNA from 1 species
AGAGUUUGAUCAUGGCUCAGCCUGAACGCUGGCGGCGUGGCUAAGACAUGCAAGUCGUACGGUGUAGCAAUACACAGUGGCGGACGGGUGAGUAAUGAAUCGCUAACGUACCCCGAAAUCUGGGAUAGCUAGCCGAAAGGUUAGGUAAUACCAGAUGAGACCACAGCAUGGCAUCCUGCAGUGCUCAAAGGGCAACCGUUUUGGGAGCGGGCGAUUUCGUAUCAGCUAGUUGGUGAGGUAACGGCUCACCAAGGCGACGACGCGUAGCCGGGCUGAGAGGUCGGCCGGCCACAUUGGGACUGAGACACUGCCCAGACUCCUACGGGGGGCUGCAGUAACGAAUCUUCCGCAAUGCACGCAAGUGUGACGGAGCGACGCCGCGUGUGGGACGAAGUUCUUCGGAAUGUAAACCACUGUCAGAGGAAAGAAAGUUCUGAUCUACCUCAGAGGAAGGGGCGGCUAACUCUGUGCCAGCAGCCGCGGUAAUAC